UACGGAGGGUGCAAGCGUUCUCCGGAUUCACUGGGUUUAAAGGGUGCGUAGGUGGGCAAGUAAGUCAGUGGUGAAAUCUCCGGGCUUAACCCGGAAACUGCCAUUGAUACUAUUUGUCUUGAAUACUGUGGAGGUCAGCGGAAUAUGUCAUGUAGCGGUGAAAUGCUUAGAUAUGACAUAGAACACCAAUUGCGAAGGCAGCGGGCUACACAAAUAUUGACACUGAGGCACGAAAGCGUGGGGAUCAAACAGG
rnacentral:rRNA from 1 species